GACGAACGCUGGCGGCGUGCUUAACACAUGCAAGUCGAACGGAAAGGCCCUGCUUGCAGGGUGCUCGAGUGGCGAACGGGUGAGUAACACGUGGGUGAUCUGCCCCUUACUUUGGGAUAAGCCUGGGAAACUGGGUCUAAUACUGGAUAGGACCAUGCUGUAGGUGGUGUGGUGGAAAGAUUAGUUUCGGUAAGGGAUGAGCUCGCGGCCUAUCAGCUUGUUGGUGGGGUAAUGGCCUACCAAGGCGUCGACGGGUAGCCGGCCUGAGAGGGUGGACGGCCACAUUGGGACUGAGAUACGGCCCAGACUCCUACGGGAGGCAGCAGUGGGGAAUAUUGCACAAUGGGCGCAAGCCUGAUGCAGCGACGCCGCGUGGGGGAUGACGGCCUUCGGGUUGUAAACUCCUUUCAGCCAUGACGAAGCCUUCGGGUGACGGUAGUGGUAGAAGAAGCACCGGCUAACUACGU
rnacentral:rRNA from 1 species